rnacentral:lncRNA from 8 species
ACCUACUCACCCACCUACUCACCCACCUACUCACCCACUCUCUCAAUCACCCACCCACCUACUCACCCACUCACCCACUCUCUCACUCACCCACCAACCCACUCACCCACUCUCUCACUCACUCUCCCUCUCACCCUCUCACUCACUUCACUCACUCACAUCACUCAUUCAAUCUCACUCACUCACUCACUCACUCACUCACUCACUCACUCACUCACUCACUCACUCACUCACUCAUUCACCCACUCACUCAAUCACUCACUCACUCACUCACUCACUCAAAUAUUUUUUGUUUCCUGUAGUGGACAUCUUGCUUCUCGCCAAUGAAACUGGAUUGAACAUCACAGAGAUAGAAGAGGCUUUGGUUAACCUCACAUCCAUCACUGAUUUGCUGAGGCCUGUCCUGCCUUCCAUCACUCCUCCCAUCUCUGUGGAGUCCUCAGGCUCUGGUUCCGGGGCCUCUGGCGCGAGUGGAUCCUCCGGAGAUCUCUCUGGUGAUCACUCUGGUGAUCUGCCUCAUUCCAGGGAUCUGUCCGGGUCAGGUGAUCUUUCAGGCAGUGGAAGCACAGAGAUUCCCAGCGGAUCGUCUGGUCUGAGUAGUGAAGAUGCGUCCGGCUCGGGGCUGAGUGGAGACGGAUCGGGAAUAACGGUCACCUUCUCUUCAGGGAGUAGCAACGUUUUAUCUGGUUUGGGCUCUGGGGGUCCUCAGGAGGCUGGAGAGGGAAUCACUGGGAUCCUCACCUUCCCCUCAGAAAUGGGAUUGGGAAUGUUCAGUGGCAGUGGGUUCCUGUCGGGUUCGGGAAGUGGCUCCGGUGUCAGUUCUGAGGAGAGCGGCUCUUCGUCUGACAGCUCCAGCAGCUCUGGUGAAAGUGGGGAUUUGUCUGGAAUGUCGUCCGGCUCCAGCUCUAGUUCCAGUGAGGAGUUUUCCGGAUUUCCCUCAGGAUUCUUUCCCUCAGGAGGCUCCAGUGGUCAUUCGGGAGAGGAGUCGGGAACCGGAGACACUCAGGUCCUGCUGAUCGAUGGGAAACUGAUGGAGGUUUCCACCUCUCACACACACAAAGAGAAGGAGCUGGGUGGAGGGGGCCUGGAAUUCAGCGGCUCCGGAUCUGGCAGCAGCGGCUCAGGGUUCUUCCCGGAUGUGACCUUCUUGGGGUCAGGGUUUACCGACCUCACGGGGUCAGCCUCAGGGGAACAGGAGGCCUCGGGGUCUCUCCACUACGGCUCCGGAAGCGGUGAUAUCAGCGGUUCGGCCUCGGGAAGCAGCGGCUCAGGGUUCUUCCCGGGUGUGACCUUCUUGGGGUCAGGGUUUACUGACCUCACGGGGUCAGCCUCAGGGGAACAGGAGGCCUCGGGGUCUCUCCACUACGGCUCCGGAAGCGGUGAUAUCAGCGGUUCGGCCUCGGGAAGCAGCGGCUCAGGGUACUUCCCGGGUGUGACCUUCUUGGGGUCAGGGUUUACCGACCUCACGGGGUCAGCCUCAGGGGAACAGGAGGCCUCGGGGUCUCUCCACUACGGCUCUGGAAGCGGUGAUAUCAGCGGUUCGGCCUCGGGCAGCAGCGGCUCAGGGUUCUUCCCGAGUGUGACCUUCUUGGGGUCAGGGUUUACCGACCUCACGGGGUCAGCCUCAGGGGAACAGGAGGCCUCGGGGUCUCUCCACUACGGCUCCGGAAGUGGUGAUAUCAGCGGUUCGGCCUCGGGCAGCAGCGGCUCAGGGUUCUUCCCGGGUGUGACCUUCUUGGGGUCAGGGUUUACUGACCUCACGGGGUCAGCCUCAGGGGAACAGGAGGCCUCGGGGACUCUCCACUACGACUCCGGAGCGGGAAGAGGCGGAUACACAUCAGGGUUCGGAACGUCGGGCCUCCCAUCCGGAGACAUGUCUGGAAUCUCCAGAUCCUCCACCAGCGAUGAGGAGGACAGCGCUGUCACCUUCCUGACUAAUGACUUCAUGACAGAGGUUUCCAAGGCAACCACGGUUUCCAUGGAGCUGGGGGCUGGGCCAGUGCAGUUCAGUGGGCAGGGAAGCGGGUCCCACACAGGGAGUGGUGCUGACCACCCAAACCAGGCCAGCGGUGUCUCAUCUGGGGCACACUCUGGAGAUCUGCUCCCUGUGGUGCUGUCCUCUCCGCCCAGCAAUAGGGAGCUUAUGGAGGGCACAGAGGGGCCAGAGGAGGCCAUGGCUGGCGGGGCUGAGCUGGGGGAGACCACCAGCGAGUUUUACGUGACCUUUGCCCCCAACCUUGCUCCCGCCGGAUUGGCUGCCCCAGCCAUCUCCUUGCAGACCCCUGACGUCAUGGAGGAGCCAUCCUCAGAGGAGGGUAUCCCUAACCCAUGUGACCCUAACCCGUGUGGUGCUGGGUCAUGCUCAGUGGAGGAUGGUGGGAAAGUGGGAGAAGGGUGCCAGUAUGGUGAGUCCUGA